rnacentral:rRNA from 1 species
GAUGAACGCUGGCGGCGUGCCUAAUACAUGCAAGUCGAGCGAACAGACGAGGAGCUUGCUCCUUUGACGUUAGCGGCGGACGGGUGAGUAACACGUGGAUAACCUACCUAUAAGACUGGGAUAACUUCGGGAAACCGGAGCUAAUACCGGAUAACAUGUUGAACCACAUGGUUCAACAGUGAAAGACGGUCUUGCUGUCACUUAUAGAUGGAUCCGCGCCGCAUUAGCUAGUUGGUAAGGUAACGGCUUACCAAGGCAACGAUGCGUAGCCGACCUGAGAGGGUGAUCGGCCACACUGGAACUGAGACACGGUCCAGACUCCUACGGGAGGCAGCAGUAGGGAAUCUUCCGCAAUGGGCGAAAGCCUGACGGAGCAACGCCGCGUGAGUGAAGAAGGUCUUCGGAUCGUAAAACUCUGUUAUUAGGGAAGAACAAAUGUGUAAGUAACUAUGCACGUCUUGACGGUACCUAAUCAGAAAGCCACGGCUAACUACGUG